rnacentral:rRNA from 1 species
GACGAACGCUGGCGGCGUGCUUAACACAUGCAAGUCGAACGGAAAGGCCCUGCUUUUGUUGGGUGCUCGAGUGGCGAACGGGUGAGUAACACGUGAGUAACCUGCCCUUGACUUUGGGAUAACUUCAGGAAACUGGGGCUAAUACCGGAUAGGAGCUCCUGCUGCAUGGGGGGGGUUGGAAAGUUUCGGCGGUUGGGGAUGGACUCGCGGCUUAUCAGCUUGUGGGUGGGGUAGUGGCUUACCAAGGCUUUGACGGGUAGCCGGCCUGAGAGGGUGACCGGCCACAUUGGGACUGAGAUACGGCCCAGACUCCUACGGGAGGCAGCAGUGGGGAAUAUUGCACAAUGGGCGGAAGCCUGAUGCAGCAACGCCGCGUGCGGGAUGACGGCCUUCGGGUUGUAAACCGCUUUCGCAUGUGACGAAGCGUGAGUGACGGUAAUGGGUAAAGAAGCACCGGCUAACUACGUG